rnacentral:rRNA from 1 species
CGAGCGCAACCCCUACCUUUAGUUGCCAUCAGGUUAAGCGUGGGACUCUAAAGGAACUGCCUACGCAAGUAGUGAGGAAGGCGGGGAUGACGUCAAAUCAGCACGGCCCUUACGUCCAGGGCUACACACGUGCUACAAUGGCCGGUACAAAGGGCAGCUACCUGGUGACAGGAUGCUAAUCUCAAAAGCCGGUCUCAGUUCGGAUCGGAGUCUGCAACCCGACUCCGUGAAGUUGGAUUCGCUAGUAAUCGCGCAUCAGCCAUGGCGCGGUGAAUACGUUCCCGGGCCUU